GAGUGGCGAACGGGUGAGUAACACGUGAGUAACCUGCCCUCUUCUUCGGGAUAACGGUUGGAAACGGCUGCUAAUACCGGGUAUUCACUGGUCCUCGCAUGGGGGUUGGUGGAAAGGUUUUUUCUGGUGGGGGAUGGGCUCGCGGCUUAUCAGCUUGUUGGUGGGGUGAUGGCUUACCAAGGCUUUGACGGGUAGCCGGCCUGAGAGGGUGACCGGUCACAUUGGGACUGAGAUACGGCCCAGACUCCUACGGGAGGCAGCAGUGGGGAAUUUUGCACAAUGGGCGCAAGCCUGAUGCAGCGACGCCGCGUGAGGGAUGGAGGCCUUCGGGUUGUGAACCUCUUUCGCUCAUGGUCAAGCCGCAGGGUUGCCUGUGGUGAGGGUAGUGGGUAAAGAAGCGCCGGCUAACUACGUGCCAGUAGCCGCGGUAAUACGUAGGGCGCGAGCGUUGUCCGGAAUUAUUGGGCGUAAAGGGCUUGUAGGCGGCUUGUCGCGUCUGCCGUGAAAUCCUCUGGCUUAACUGGGGGCGUGCGGUGGGUACGGGCUGGCUUGAGUGCGGUAGGGGAGACUGGAAUUCCUGGUGUAGCGGUGGAAUGCGCAGAUAUCAGGAGGAACACCGGUGGCGAAGGCGGGUCUCUGGGCCGUUACUGACGCUGAGGAGCGAAAGCAUGGGGAGCGAACAGGAUUAGAU
rnacentral:rRNA from 1 species